CAAAAUAACUGGUCCUCUCUGUAG
rnacentral:siRNA from 1 species